UUUUGCAUACAUUUUUAGUAGC
rnacentral:siRNA from 1 species